AUACGGAGGACGCGAGCGUUAUCCGGAUUUAUUGGGUUUAAAGGGUGCGUAGGCUGUGCGUUAAGUCAGGGGUGAAAUGCCGUCGCUCAACGACGGAGCUGCCCUUGAUACUGGCGGGCUGGAGUACGGAUGCCGUUGGAGGAAUGAGUGGUGUAGCGGUGAAAUGCUUAGAUAUCACUCAGAACACCGAUUGCGAAGGCAUCUUCGGCAGCCGUCGCAGACGCUGAGCCUCGAAAGCGUGGGGGUAGAACAGGAUUAGAUACCCUGUGAUUCCUCGCCGUAAACGCUGAUGCCUAACCGUCGGCGAUAGACAGCCGGUGGCCAAGCGAAAGCGAUAAGUCAUCCACCUGGGGCGUACGUCGGCAACGAUGAAGCUCAAACGAAUUGACGUGG
rnacentral:rRNA from 1 species